CUCGCAGUUCAACUACCACAGAAUGGUUUUUUACCGUAGGUGCGACUAUCGAGGACGAACAGUAGCGUCGUUUUUGAGUCAGGAGCAAGAUUUGGGGAUCAAUACCGAAAACUCCUCCAUUAUUUGCAUAUUUUGCAAUUAACAUGCAAAUCACAGGCAUACGACCGUUGAUUACCCAUGUGAACCAGUUGAACGACUGAUCAUUCACAGUAAGAUUGCCUCUAUGCUAACUCCUUAGCGACAGAGGAAACGAUAAUACUUUUAAACAACUUCAAGUAACAAUGUUAUUCCGCGGAUCAGAUAUGCGCUUACCUAUGCUCGUCUGGGCCCUUAGACCCAGAUCGGCAUUGGUCUACCAGCGGGAGGUGAGCCUGAACACAGCUACUGGAUGUCGCCUAUGCCUAGGCAUUCACUAAAAAGAUCGCUCACUGAGGGAAAAAAUCGGAUCUGCUCUGUCAGCCACUUCAAAGGCUCCGUCUGGAGACCCGCAAAGCUCUUG